CAUCCAAGCAAUUGCAUGUUUCGAUAGUUUCUUCUUUUGUAUUGACCUUUUAUCAUUCUUUUUUAUUUUUCCAUUCCAUUGUAUGGAUGUACCAGCAGUUUGUUUAUCUAUUUACCUGUUGAAGGACAUUUGGAGUCUUUCUCGUUUUUGGUGAUUACGCUUCUAUCAACUUUUCUGUUCAAGUUGUUGUGUGAACGUAAAAGAUCCUGCUUCAUUUGGAUGGCAACCAAGUCAGCCAUAUGGGAAGGAAAAUAAUCUAGUGAGUUGCAAAAUAAGAAAUCAUGGUCCAUGUGUUCCGUUGGAUGGCUUUCUUUGGGAUAUAAGCUCAAUGUGAAGUGGACUGUUGGUCAUCUGACAAAGGCAUAUUUUUGGCCCCAGUUAUCCAGUUAUAUGUCCACACUGGUAAUAUUAACCAAGGAAUUAUCUUUAUGUUGCGUAGACCUGAGUAAAAAAUACUUUAGGGCUGGCACCAUGGCUGAGCAGGUAAGUUUGCGAGCUCUGCUUUGGGGUAGCCGAGGUUUUUGCCAGUUCGGAUCCUGGGCGCGGACACAGCACCGCUCAUCAGGCCACGCUGAGGGGUUAGGCCAUGCUGAGGGGGCAUCCCACAUAACAUGACCAGAAGGACCUACAACUAGAAUAUACAACUAUGUACUGGGGGGCUUUGAGGAGAAGAAGAAGAAAAAAGAAAGAAGAUUGGCAACAGAUGUUAGCUCAGGUGCCAAUCUUAAAAAAACCCCAAAAAACCCCUUUAAAACGUGCCACAAAGCGUCCUUGCUGUUCUGUCGAUAUAGGGAAAUUUAUUCUAGGAAUGCAAAUAUCAUAAAUAUGGAAGAUCUCACAAUUGUAACAAAAAGAGGUUUCUUUGAAUCCACUUCAGUGAGUCUAACGUUUGAAUUGGAAAAGAGCAGAGACAGGAGAGAUGAAGUGACAUUCCCCCAAAGGCACAUUCCAGGAUGAUAUUUUAACGCAGCCUGUCAUCUUCUGCCCUCCCUUUCCUCCCAGUUUUUGCAUUCUCUCUCUUUUUUCUGUCUUUUCUCUUUCCCCCUCCUCUCUUUUCCCUGUCUUUAGAAACCCUUUAGAAGUCAGGGCAUAGCUAGGGUGCUGUGACAAUGGUGGGAAAGAGAGAAGAGAGGCACUGUUUCUAUUCAAACCCUUUAUAUCUUUUCUCAUCUUCUCUUCUAGCAAGCACGACAGGUUAACUAUGGAGAAGAUACACCAGUACUCACACACACACACUCACACACACACAGACCCCACUUUAUUCUGUGCCAGAGCAGAGCUCCUGAAAACUGCUGCCAAGUGGCAGCCACCCAAGAGACUGCUGAAUUUCUGGCACUGGGCAGAAUCGAUGGCUGAGGCCAAGUGAUUGUUGCUGAACUCACCUGUGUCGAAAGGUCAGCCUUGCGGUGCUAAGGCUGGGCACAGGCACUCGAGGCAAAUUGGAUUGUGAAUGGAGGCCCUGAGGCAUGUUCUGCACUUUGCAACUGGUCUGGCAGGCUCCUCCACCUCCUGAGUCUGCCACAGGCAUGGGAAACACCUGGGCAGCGACAAAGGCAGGAUAAAGAAUUUUCAGGCUCAAAAUGUCAACUGUGCAGAGGUCAAAGAAAAACCCUGCUGUAGAGAAAGAGGAAAAAAGGGAGAGAAAAGGUGACUUUGCAAAUCUGAGUCUCUGUGACUACAGACACGGAAAUUUCAUCAAGAGCAAUUAGAAGCCCAGAAGUUUUGCUGAAUUAUUGGAUACGGGGAUGAAUCAUUUCAACCAGCUUGAGCUUGAGGUUAAUGUGAGAGACACAGCUGGCAGAAGCAGUAGGCAGAAACGUUGUUAAACUGAAGCGAGUAGGAGAGAAAGAGUGGGUUGAGAAGUAAUUCACCUUGGGGUGAUGGUUGAGACCACAAAAGCAGUUGAAAUGUUCAAAGACAUGUGGGAAAAGAAGAGUAAAGGCAUUUUACUAGUACUUUAGAAACAUAAAUCCUUCACAUAAAUAGUGAAUUUUUAAGUGAUAUACAGUAAGAAUUAUUCCUGCAAGCCCAUCUGUUUCAACAUGAGGAAUCAAAACCUGAAUACCAACCUUGCUAAAAUAAAGGUUCCUGG
rnacentral:lncRNA from 1 species